CUCCCAGUAUAUGUGCAUAGAAGAUGAUAACGAUCCGACAUAAUUCCUUCGAUUGAUCCGACUACAGUAAUUUUUUCCGGCUCUCCUCUCUUCCUCCCUCUGUUCUGCCUCGAAAAUCUUCCAGGUCAAAAGCUGCUAUUGCCGUGAAGGAAGCCACUGCUAAACUGAUCCCUGUGAGAAGGAGAAAGAGAGACUCUAAGGUGACUGCAGAUAACUUAGAUCCCCUCCUCCCAAUCUCUUCCCUUCCUUAGCGCUUGCUUCUUGAUUGGGGUAGAGCAUGUGGAUUCGCUUUUUCUGAAGAGAUUGCAAAGGACGUCGUUGAUAAUAUUCGGGAGCUGGAGAAGGGGAAAGCAAUGGCGACUCUUUCAGUUCAGUCAUGAUCCUUUCUCCAUUGGGUUUUCUGUCGCGAUGGAGAUUUCUCUACGUCGUCUGUGUUCCUACUCUUAUAUCGGGUGGAGAGCGGCAUCCUCCGAUUGAAGAGGUCAUUAAGGCAGGUGUUGUCCCCCGGGUUGUGGAAUUUCUUUCAAGGCAUGACAUACCUCAGCUGCAGUCUGAGGCUGCAUGGGCCCUGACCAAUGUAGCUUCUGGCACCUCAGAACACACACAAGUUGUUAUUUGAGCAGGGCGCUGUUCCAAAUUUUGUGAAACUUUUAAGUUCACCAAAUGAUGAAGUUAGAAAGCAGAAGUUCUAACAGAUACCUGUUGGGCCCUGUCUUAUCUUUCUGAUGGGACUAAUGACAAGAUUCAGGUGGUGAUACAAGCAGGUGUUUGUCCACGUCUUAUUCAGCUUCUCCUUCAUCAGCUCCCUACAGUUCUCAUUCCUGCCCUCAGAACAGUGGGGAUGAUGCUCAGACCAGGGAAUUGGUUUUCGUAUGGGAGAUCAGUUUAUGUGUUAUUCUCAGCUGCAAUAGGCAAUUGGUACAAUCCUUUGAAAGUAAGGAACAUAUAUUUGCAGAUUUCUUGUGUAUUUUUUACUGUAUGUAAAGUGCCCAUGGGCCUUUCUGAUAGAUCAUUCAUUCACAUAUUUUGUAUUUAAGGCAAGCAUCAAAGUGAUUUUCCUUAAAUAUUGAA